GGUGUUGGAUUUUUUGAAUUGUUUUUAUUGUAGUUAUUUCUAUUUCAAUGCCAUUGUGAUCUGGGAAGAUCCUUAGUAUGUUUUCGA